UAACCUGCCUUGGAGUGGGGAAUAACAGCUGGAAACAGCUGCUAAUACCGCAUAAUAUAUCUGGGUCGCAUGGCUCUGGAUAUCAAAGAUUUAUCGCUCUGAGAUGGACUCGCGUCUGAUUAGCUGGUUGGCGGGGUAACGGCCCACCAAGGCGACGAUCAGUAGCCGGACUGAGAGGUUGGCCGGCCACAUUGGGACUGAGACACGGCCCAGACUCCUACGGGAGGCAGCAG
rnacentral:rRNA from 1 species